AUUGAACGCUGGCGGCAUGCCUUACACAUGCAAGUCGAACGGUAACAGGUCUUCGGAUGCUGACGAGUGGCGAACGGGUGCGUAAUACAUCGGAACGUGCCUAGUAGUGGGGGAUAACUACUCGAAAGAGUGGCUAAUACCGCAUGAGAUCUACGGAUGAAAGCAGGGGAUCGCAAGACCUUGCGCUACUAGAGCGGCCGAUGGCAGAUUAGGUAGUUGGUGGGAUAAAAGCUUACCAAGCCGACGAUCUGUAGCUGGUCUGAGAGGACGACCAGCCACACUGGGACUGAGACACGGCCCAGACUCCUACGGGAGGCAGCAGUGGGGGAUUUUGGACAAAGGGCGCAAGCCUGAUCCAGCAAUGCCGCGUGCAGGAUGAAGGCCUUCGGGUUGUAAACUGCUUUUGUACGGAACGAAAAGCCCUGGGUUAAUACCCUGGGGUCAUGACGGUACCGUAAGAAUAAGCACCGGCUAACUACGUGCCAGCAGCCGCAGUAAGAC
rnacentral:rRNA from 1 species